rnacentral:rRNA from 1 species
CAAUCUGCCCAUAUCUGGGGGAUAACAGUUGGAAACGACUGAUAAUACCGCAUAACAUGGUUUGAAGGCAUCUUCUUUCCAUCAAAGAUUUAUCGGAUAUGGAUGAGCUCGCGUCUGAUUAGCUUGUUGGUGAGGUAACGGCUCACCAAGGCGACGAUCAGUAGCCGACCUGAGAGGGUGAUCGGCCACAUUGGAACUGAGACACGGUCCAAACUCCUACGGGAGGCAGCAG